rnacentral:snRNA from 1 species
UUAAGGUAGCCAAAUGCC